rnacentral:pre_miRNA from 1 species
CAUGCACCGGUGGGGUCCCUUGGCCUGGCUUGCACCCUCUCGCAAUCUGGGAAACCUCGAGGGAUGUCGGAGGCCCAGUGCAUGGAUUUGGCCUGAUCCCUGCAGGCCAGGCCAAGGGACCCCAUUGGUGCAUG